UCUGGCUGAGGUAGUAGUUUGUGCUGUUGGUUGGGUUGUGACAUUGCCCGCUAUGGAGAUGACUGCGCAAGCUACUGCCUUGCCGGU
rfam:Scleropages formosus scaffold39, whole genome shotgun sequence.